rnacentral:rRNA from 1 species
AGUGAACGCUGGCGGUAGGCCUAACACAUGCAAGUCGAACGGCAGCACAGAGGAGCUUGCUCCUUGGGUGGCGAGUGGCGGACGGGUGAGGAAUACAUCGGAAUCUACUCUGUCGUGGGGGAUAACGUAGGGAAACUUACGCUAAUACCGCAUACGACCUACGGGUGAAAGCAGGGGAUCUUCGGACCUUGCGCGAUUGAAUGAGCCGAUGUCGGAUUAGCUAGUUGGCGGGGUAAAGGCCCACCAAGGCGACGAUCCGUAGCUGGUCUGAGAGAAUGAUCAGCCAAACUGGAACUGAGACACGGGCCAGACUCCUACGGGAGGCAGCAGUGGGGAAUAUUGGACAAUGGGCGCAAGCCUGAUCCAGCCAUACCGCGUGGGUGAAGAAGGCCUUCGGGUUGUAAAGCCCUUUUGUUGGGAAAGAAAUCCAUCUGGUUAAUACCCGGGUGGGAUGACGGUACCCAAAGAAUAAGCACCGGCUAACUUCGUGCCAGCCGCCGCCGUAA